rnacentral:rRNA from 1 species
AACGAACGCUGGCGGUAUGCUUAAUACAUGCAAGUCGAACGAGAAAGUCCCUUCGGGGACGAGUACAGUGGCGCACGGGUGAGUAACACGUAGGUGACCUAUCCAGGAGAUGGGGAUAACAGAGAGAAAUUUCUGCUAAUACCGAGUACGCUGAGUAACUUUGGAAGGAACUCAGGAAAGAUGGCCUCUUUACAAUGCUAUUGCUCUUGGCAGGGCCUGCGGGUCAUUAGUUUGUUGGUGGGGUAAUGGCCUACCAAGGCUACGAUGGCUAGCCGGUCUGAGAGGAUGAUCGGCCACACUGGAACUGAGACACGGUCCAG